UACGUAGGGGCCGAGCGUUGUCCGGAGUUAUUGGGCGUAAAGCGCGCGCAGGCGGCCUCGCGCGCCCGACGUGAAAGCCCCCGGCUUAACCGGGGAGGGUCGUUGGGGACGGCGGGGCUUGAGGGCGGGAGAGGGUGGUGGAAUUCCCGGUGUAGUGGUGAAAUGCGUAGAGAUCGGGAGGAACACCGGUGGCGAAGGCGACUGCCUGGGGAGUAACUGACGCUGAGGCGCGAAAGCUGGGGGAGCAAACGGG
rnacentral:rRNA from 1 species